rnacentral:misc_RNA from 1 species
CACUGAACCUUAUCAUUUAGAGGAAGGAGAAGUCGUAAUAAGGUUUUCGUAGGUGAACCUACGGAAGGAUCAUUGUCUAAACCUGUAAAACAGACCACGAACUCGUGUUUUAACUAUCUCAGGUGCCGCAGCUCCGGCCAAGCCCCCUGUCGCGGCCCCUCUCCCCGCCCGGCGAGUUUAAGAGCUCUAGUCAUGCAGGCUAAUGAACCCCCAGUGUGGCAUGCGCCAAGGAAAACUCAACGAAGUGCCUCCUCCUUGCURCCCCGUUCGUGGUGCUCUCGGGGGGAUAAUGCGUCUCUUGAAAUAUCAAAAUUACUCUCGGCAACGGAUAGCUAGGCUCUCAUAUUGAUUAAGAAUGUAGCAAAAUGUGAUACUUUGUGUGAAUUGCAGAAUCCUGUAGACUAUCAAGAUUUUGAACGCAAGUUGAGCCUAAAGCCAUUAGGCCCAGGACACGUCUUCCUGGACGUCACCCCCAUGCUCUUUGGUGCGCGUUCGACCCAAACUUAAUCCCGCUUCGACCUGUGUCGCGACCAGUGGUGGUUCAAAACUCGAGUUGUGUGCGGUCACGAAGUCUCGCGUCAUAGCUCGAACAUCGUCAAAGAACCAAUGAUGUUUUAGGGUGCCUUCGACCGCGACCCUAGGUCAGGCGGGAUCACCCACUGAGUUUAAGCAUAUCAAUAAGCGGAGGA